AGCCCCGGCCUCUCCUGCAGCCUCUCCUUUGCCUGCUGUGCUGGGCGCGUGGGAUUGGCCCCACCCCGCCAUCUCCGCUCCCCUCCUUUAUCCCCAGUGUCUGGCCUGCUCCCUGGCCUCUGAGACGCACCCUGGGAGGGAGGGAGCCUUCGCAAACAGACGGACUCCAGAUGAAAACCCCGCCAGCCGUGCCACCUUCUUUCCUGUCCCUGGAUGGAAGCCCUCCUGGGUGGACCCCAGCCUCUGAUUUCUCCUGGCUUCUGACUUUGGAAGGAUCUCCCAGCACACCCUGCUUUGUCCUGGGAACAUGCGUCAUCCCAUCGGCCUCCCUAGAAGCUGCAGACCUCGGGAGGGAAGACCCACGUCUGCUCUUCUCCUGCCCCUCUGGUGCCAAGAGGUCAGGAUCUGGGCUUCCUGCAGCUGAUUUUCCUGCACAAGUCCUGGCCAGCCUGGAGAUAGGGGUGUUCCUGGAAGCUGGCCAGAGAGUGAAAACCAUUUCCUGCUCGCUGUGGACCAGGUCCAGAGGCUGCGCCCGAGGCUCCCACGCCAACCGUCCAGUGUCCUUGGCCGAGGGCAGGGAUCUCGCCGCCUUUCCCCCUUCCUCAGCCAAACCCUCACACUCCCGCAGCCGAAUCGCCGGAGGCCGGGAAAGACCCUCGCCUGUCCCUUGCAGCAAGAGUGACAGACCUGGGCAGAGGCCACGUUCGUCCCCACAGACAGCCUCGCUUCCCUGCUCCACUUGCCUUUCCCCAGGGCAGCUCCGGGCCGGGCCUGCAUGGGAGCCAGCCCCCACUACCCACCAGAACCAGCAGCCCCCAGAGAGCUGA
rnacentral:lncRNA from 1 species